ensembl:lncRNA
AAUAGAAAUUCCAUUUGACCCAGCAAUCCCAUUACUGGAUAUAUAUCCAAAGGACUAUAAAUUGUUCUACUAUAAGGACACAUGCACACGAAUGUUCAUUGCAGCACUGUUUACAAUAGCAAAGACCUGGAACCAACCCAAAUGCCCAUUGAUGAUAGACUGGACUGGGAAAAUGUGGCACAUAUACACCAUGGAAUAUAGAAGAAUAUAUCCACAGAGUAGGGCGCACUGGACGGGCAGGAAAGAUAGGCACAUCAAUUACCCUCAUCACUCAGAGAGAUUCGAAAAUGGCUAGUGAAUUGGUUAAAAUUCUGGAAAGGGCAAAUCAGAGUGUUCCAGAAGAUCUGGUACUAAUGGCUGAGCAAUACAAGUUUAAACAACAAAAGAGGGACACAGAGAAACCAUCAAGAAAACCUGGAGAAAGACGCAAGGAGUUUUACUGAUGUUUAAGUUGAAAAGUUGUACCAGGCUACUAGAAGAUUCCAGGCAUGUUAAUGUUAUGCAGUAUUGAAUAUACAUAAGGAAGUAUCAGAAACAUACUGGCCAUUUGAAGAAACAACUAAUUCUUAAAUAAUUCUGCUGAACUUUUAAUAUUGUGUCUGUUCCUUAAUAAAAAUAAGGCUUCCCAAAUGAGAGAAUGAGAGAAUUUGUGAAGAAAAAGCAAAUGUUAUAUAUUGGUUAAAGUUUAAUUUCUUUUUUAAAAUACUUUGAUUUUAGGUUUGGGGUAUAUGUGAAGGUUUAGUUACAUAAGUGAACAUGUGUCACGGGGGUUUGCUGUACAUAUUAUUACCCAGGUAUUAAGCCCAGUGCCCAAUAAUUAUCUUUUCUGCUCCUCUCCCUCCUUCCACCCUCCCCCAUAAAGUAGACACCAGUGUCUGCUGUUUCCUUGUGUUCAUAAGUUCUCAUCAUUUAGUUCCCACUUAUAAGUGAGAACAUGUGGUAUUUGAUUUCCUGUUCCUGUGUUAUUUUUGCAGUCUGCUAUGUCCAUUUGUCUUCUCUAAAACACUUGGUAGAAGACAACAAUGAUGCUUUUCUAGCUUUCAAAUAGUACUAAAUUGAAGCAUAGCUUCAUACUUAUCCAGUCAAAAUAUUCUUUUUCCCCCCAGCAGUUGGUGCCACAACAGUUCUUAAAGUUAUUUCCACUAUCAUUCUCCACUUUUUUUAGUUCAUUAGAAAAUAAAUGCUAGAUUUUUUUAGAAGAUUCCACGAUUCUAUUUUUUAUCAGAAUGAUGUCACCAACAGAGCAGGAUGUCUGACUCACUGGGAAUCAGUCCUUGUAUGCAUUUUGUCACUAACCCUUGGUUAAAAUUCUGAGAAAGUUGCUUCCCUUCUCUAGGCCUCAAUUUCUCCACUCAUAAAAUGAGAUAGUUGUAUUAAUUAAUUUAGGGGUCCCUUUCACCUCUAAAAUUCUGUGAUGACUAAAACUGUAUACCCAGCCUUGGGUUAACACUUCCUUGUCUAAUCUAGGGGAAAUUGCAUCCUUGUAUAAUAAAUUGAACAAAACAGUCCUUUUCAAUGACAAGAAAGUGCAUUCUGCAUUUUUAUUGAUUUUGCAAUGUAACUGGU